CAUGUGGUUUAAUUCGAUGAUACGCGAGGAACCUUACCUGGGCUCAAAUGUAUGUUGACGUAUUCUGAAAGGGAUACUUCUUCGGACAAUAUACAAGGUGCUGCAUGGUUGUCGUCAGCUCGUGCCGUGAGGUGUCGGGUUAAGUCCCAUAACGAGCGCAACCCCCUAUCAUUAGUUGCCAUCAGGUCAAGCUGGGGACUCUAAUGAAACUGCCUACGCAAGUAGUGAGGAAGGUGGGGAUGACGUCAAAUCAGCACGGCCCUUACGUCCAGGGCUACACACGUGCUACAAUGGUCGGUACAAAGGGUUGCCAAGCCGCGAGGUGGAGCUAAUCCCAUAAAACCGAUCGUAGUCCGGAUCGCAGUCUGCAACUCGACUGCGUGAAGUCGGAAUCGCUAGUAAUCGUGAAUCAGAAUGUCACGGUGAAUACGUUCCCGGGCCUU
rnacentral:rRNA from 1 species